UUUGGUUGCAAAGGAGGCAGAAAAGCUUCAAAGAUAUCGCACCCCAUGGUACUACAAUCGGUCCCAAUAGCACCCCCACAUACUGAUGCUCUUACCAUGGUUGAAUAUUUGUUGCUUUGAAAAGUUGAGCUUCAAUGAAAUUAUAUUCUGCUGGAAUCAAUUCCAUUCCGGCGUUUACCUGCCAAGAGGAAUGGAAUUCAUGAUGGGGCCCACCUCCAAAACUGGAAUGAAUUCCGGAAGAGACCUGGAAAUGUAAUACUAAGGGGGGAGGUCGGAAUGGGAGGGAAUGAAAUUUCUUCCAAAAAUAUCCUUACCCCUCUAAUUUGAAUAUAUCAGUUGUGUGUUUGGUUUGACAUGUAGACAAUACAUAGUAACUUAAUAAGCUUCUACUUAACUAGCCAUAGCUAUAAAAUGACAUACUUAAUUUCUUUUUCAUCUCACUAAUGUUUGUUAUUUUGCAUUUGGCUCUAUAUUUAGUUAAUCAAAUGUGAAGCAUUCAACAUUAAAUUGUCUGAUCUUGCAAUAUGAUAUAAUUUAUAGUCUCCUAAAAUUAUAUCAUAUUGUCCAAAUAACUACAUUCAAUUCACAUAUGAUCCCA